UACGGGGGGGGUAAGCGUUGUUCGGAAUUACUGGGCGUAAAGGGUUCGUAGGUGGCUUGCUAAGUCAGACGUGAAAUCCCUCAGCUUAACUGGGGAACUGCGUCUGAGACUGGCGAGCUUGAGUGCAGGAGAGGAACGCGGAAUUCCAGGUGUAGCGGUGAAAUGCGUAGAUAUCUGGAGGAACACCGGUGGCGAAGGCGGCGUUCUGGACUGCAACUGACACUGAGGAACGAAAGCCAGGGGAGCAAACGGG
rnacentral:rRNA from 1 species